CCUACUAUUAAAGCAUAGCAUCUCAUUAACCACCUCUCUCUGUCCCAUUCGCAUUUAUUCUCCCUCCUUCCGUCCUUUUGAGUCACUGGUAUGUUCGUUCUGGCUCCGACAUAACGCCCGUUAUAACAGAAUUAACGGCCAUUCCCCCACAAUGGACCUAUCUAUCUAUCGUUAUGCCCCUGGUUUCACCGUUCAAGAACGACAGUACCGCUGAAGCGGAUAACGGCGUUAUUGGAACGUAACUGGCUACAGCUGUUGGCCAUGUAGUACCGG
rnacentral:lncRNA from 1 species